rnacentral:precursor_RNA from 1 species
CGCAGUUUCACCUGCUAAUUGGAGCACAGAAAAACUAGACGUCUAGACGGCGCGCGCCCUUGAUUUCUAUUCUACCCUGUGAAUUUCUUCUGCCGUCCCACAUCACCACCACCACGGUCGCUAUGUAUACUUGUACAUUGAUGUCCGGUGAGUCAUUAUUUGGGCCCUCGAUGCGGUUCACUGGUUAAUUCUCUCUAUGCAUGGAAAUGUUGCUCUCUAUCCUCACGACCUCACCGCCUCAGUUCAUCACCAGAUGUACUUGUUUGUUGUUCCAGUAAUUUAAGAGCGGCACAUUUCUGCUA